rnacentral:lncRNA from 1 species
UCAUCGAGAAGCUCGUGAAGAAGUUCAAAUGCUGUUAGCACAUAGUUCUCUUGCAAGAGAAAGUUGACAACGCAAUUGCACAGUGAUGAUUUAUCUACGUCCAUUUUUUCUUCUGUUAAAUCCUCAGAUGAAAACCCUAAUUGAGAUUCUGAUCUGAGGACAUUGAAUUGGAAAGGUUUGGAGUGAGUGAAGUUGCAAUUUCAAAUGGAUGAUGCUGGCUAGUUAGGUGACAACUCACAUGGAUGAUGGAGUACUAUUUUAUUUUUUUUUAAUUUAUUUUAUUUUUGUGAAAUUUGUUGAAUUGCGUCAAGAUGAAGACUCUUUGAGUAAAACAAAACAAGAUUUUAUCGAGUGGGUUACAAGCGGAUUGCUUCAUUUAUACACCAUCAAC